GUCUACAGCUAUAACACCCUGAACAUGCCCAAUCUCAUCUGAUCCCAGAAGCUAUGCAGGGUCGGGCUUGGCUAGUACUUGGAUGGGGAAGAUAGAUUAGUUUCCAAGAGCUGGGGGCA
rnacentral:rRNA from 1 species